rnacentral:rRNA from 1 species
CCUACGGGCUGCACCAGUGGGGAAUAUUGCACAAUGGGCGCAAGCCUGAUGCAGCCAUGCCGCGUGUAUGAAGAAGGCCUUAGGGUUGUAAAGUACUCUCAGUUGGGAGGAAGGCGUUGAUGCUAAUAUCAUCAACGAUUGACGUUACCAACAGAAGAAGCACCGGCUACCCCGUGCCAGCAGCCGCGGUAAUACGGAGGGCGCAAGCGUUAAUCGGAAUUACUGGGCGUAAAGCGCACGCAGGCGGUUGAUUAGGUUAGAUGUGAAAUCCCCGGGCUUAACCUAGGAAUGGCAUCUAAGACUGGUCAGCUAGAGUCUUGUAGAGGGGGGUAGAAUUCCAUGUGUAGCGGUGAAAUGCGUAGAGAUGUGGAGGAAUACCGGUGGCGAAGGCGGCCCCCUGGACAAAGACUGACGCUCAGGUGCGAAAGCGUGGGGAGCAAACAGGAUUAGAUACCCCAGUAGUC